UAGGGAAUCUUCCACAAUGGGCGCAAGCCUGAUGGAGUAACGCCGCGUGAGUGAAGAAGGUCUUCGGAUCGUAAAACUCUGUUGUUAGAGAAGAACAUGCAGGAGAGUAACUGUUCUUGUAUUGACGGUAUCUAACCAGAAAGCCACGGCUAACUACGCGCCAG
rnacentral:rRNA from 1 species